rnacentral:rRNA from 1 species
GAUGAACGCUGGCGGCGUGCCUAAUACAUGCGAGUCGAGCGAACGGACGAGAAGCUUGCUUCUCUGAUGUUAGCGGCGGACGGGUGAGUAACACGUGGAUAACCUACCUAUAAGACUGGGAUAACUUCGGGAAACCGGAGCUAAUACCGGGUAAUAUUUUGAACCGCAUGGUUCAAAAGUGAAAGACGGUCUUGCUGUCACUUAUAGAUGGAUCCGCGCUGCAUUAGCUAGUUGGUAAGGUAACGGCUUACCAAGGCAACGAUGCAUAGCCGACCUGAGAGGGUGAUCGGCCACACUGGAACUGAGACACGGUCCAGACUCCUACGGGAGGCAGCAGUAGGGAAUCUUCCGCAAUGGGCGAAAGCCUGACGGAGCAACGCCGCGUGAGUGAUGAAGGUCUUCGGAUCGUAAAACUCUGUUAUUAGGGAAGAACAUAUGUGUAAGUAACUGUGCACAUCUUGACGGUACCUAAUCAGAAAGCCACGGCUAACUACGUG